rnacentral:rRNA from 1 species
UGGGGAAUAUUGCACAAUGGGCGCAAGCCUGAUGCAGCCAUGCCGCGUGUGUGAAGAAGGCCUUCGGGUUGUAAAGCACUUUCAGCGAGGAGGAAGGUGGUGAGCUUAAUACGCUCAUCAAUUGACGUUACUCGCAGAAGAAGCACCGGCUAACUCCGUGCCAGCAGCCGCGGUAAUACGGAGGGUGCAAGCGUUAAUCGGAAUUACUGGGCGUAAAGCGCACGCAGGCGGUUUGUUAAGUCAGAUGUGAAAUCCCCGGGCUCAACCUGGGAACUGCAUUUGAAACUGGCAAGCUAGAGUCUCGUAGAGGGGGGUAGAAUUCCAGGUGUAGCGGUGAAAUGCGUAGAGAUCUGGAGGAAUACCGGUGGCGAAGGCGGCCCCCCUGGANGAAGACUGACGCUCAGGUGCGAAAGCGUGGGGCAGCAAACAGGAUUAGAUACCCUGGUAGUCCACGCUGUAAACGAUGUCGAUUUUGGA